GUUGACCUGGAUUCAAGGAUUAUACGCUUUGGGUAUCUCAAUUCAGUCUCGUCUCUUGUCGAAUCCAAUUCAACAGCCGGGUUUCUCGUGUCAAGCUCGUUCGAGCGGCGUGUGGAAGCACUUGAUCGAAGCAGCAAUAGCACAUGUUACCCUCCACCUCUGUCACCAGUUUGGUGAAUAUGGCUGUUAUUAAGCUAGCAACUCUUUUGAGUGAGAACAUGAGAGAGUUGUCUCAUAUGUGGGCACCUCCAAUAUAUAGAAGAUUGCUUAGCUCUGAUAAGAGAGACAGUGAUAUGUCAGAAAGGUGUCUACUGAAGAUUAGAUCCACAAUCAUACCUUCUCCAAUAGAUCUCUCCAAGGUACUUGUCAGAGAUUUAAAGACAAAGUUGCUCACUGGGAUGCAUGAUAUGCUAUCAAUGGUAUGAAGAUUCAAACUAUUCAAGCAUGGGGAUGGUAUAUCCGCUUACUAGGGUCUCAUGCCUUGAAGAACAGACAUUUAAUUAAUGAUAUGCUGAAAAUUCCCAAGAAAACAUUUUCAGAUAAUGACUCACAAGUUCAGAUUGCUUCCCAGGUUGCCUGUGAAGGUCUUAGUAAUGCUCUUAUUCACCCUCUAAUGUUAUUACCGUGUGCGACAAAUGCUGCAGACGAGGAUGAUGGUACGCAAAAAAAGGGAACACAAAGGAAAUAGUGAUGAAAUCCAAAACACUAGAUCUUUGAAAAGCGUAAGGCUGAUCAUGACACCACUGAUAGGCAUCAUGUUGAGUAACUGCGAUGUAUCUGUCCGCAUGUCUUGCUUGAACACAUGGUGUUAUCUAUUACCUAGACUUGAUACCUCUCUGAAUGAUUCUUCAAUGAUUAACCGGGUAGUAGACCCUAUGUUUGAAGCAGCUUUUCAACUUGAUCCUAAUGGUAAGAGCUUCUGGGCUACGGAUCUGUGUGUCAAUUUGCUUGAUGAUUUUA